UAUGAUGUCAUAGUGCCUUAGCGGUUUGCUCAGAGGUGUGCUCUGGGACUCGUGGAUUUCAGAACCUCUCACUCUCCCUCUCAGUCUCAGUGUGAUUACUGCCGUCUGUCGACAGGGAGGCUCUCCGGAUGGGCUGUGCGUAGACCCAGAGGCUGUUCUGACUCAGGUGAUGAGCAUAUUUCGGAGGCUGUGAAAGCGGGACUUUUUAUCGGUUUUAACUUCAAGGUACGUUAGUUGGAUUUUGUUCCGCACUUUUUGGGAAGGCCAGAAAUCUGCGAAUAUUCUUUAUCGCUCCAAAAAUACAAGACUACAAAACGAUCCGAUCUGGGUAUUCCCAGGUAAUUACUCAGGCAAGAAUGGAGGAAAAACUUCCAUCCCAGUAUGGCCAAGUUGAGGAUGAACUUCGGAGGAGCCUGAGGUCACAUUCCUUUAGCAACGAGUACGAUGCCGACGAAAGCGAGUUGAGCCACUUCGAAUUCGUCACCGAUUUCCAUGGCCAGCAAGAACCGCCCACGACGCCACAAGAUGGCGAUGAGUGGCAGGACGAGGAAGACUCUGGAGGCGACGAUUCCGAAUUUUUCGAACCUGGACCGGAAGCCAAUUCCGAGCCAAGCGACGGGGAAGGAGAGGAAGAAGAAGAAGAAGGUGUAGAAGAAGAGAAUGGCCGGAACAAUCAGCAAGGGUCUGCGUACUAGCAGAGGUUUUAUAUCAGGAAAUGAACAAAUCUUAUUUUUGCAUUAUCGCAUCUAUUUUCUAUUUUUUGUGGACUGGGGUGAGGAGAAGACAAGGAGGGGUGGGAGGGGAGAGCGUCCAAAAUCUCAGGGAACAUGCGAUACCAGUGACCUUUUGCUCAUUGACUACAACGUGCAUAUCUACAUAUUCCUCCUGUAUUUUAGACAAACUUGAACUCACAGUCACAAUUAACCUUUUCAAAUAGUUUAACGCAAAGUGUUCGAAAUUUUUGUGGGUGAAGAUGACUCAAAGACCUCUCUCACUUUCUUGUAGAUAUCCCGUCUUAAUCUCAGCUUAAUAUUUGUGUGUGUGUCUGUAUGUUGAUGGAAUAUACGUUAUUGUGUGUUGGUAGUAUGUAUGUUUACGUAUGUAUCAUACAUCACCACAGGUGAAAAAAUGAGACUGGUUGUAGGUCCUGACCGUUUCCGAGUCUAUAUCCAAGCCACUGACGCUGUCUUCGGCAUUGGCUUGGAAAUAAAGUAGGAACUGCUUAGGACCUACACACACAGUAUCUCAUCUUUUCACCUGUCCUGUUAUGAUGUAAAUGAAUCACUUGUUAAAGUGAUUAUA